CUCCACUUAAUAUUUGAGAGAUAUGAAGCUCAGCAAGAUCAAGAAACGUGCCUGACUACCAAAAUCCUGGAGGAAGAGGAAAACUCUUAGAAGGCUGAAUAGAAACAUGUGAAACCCUGAAAGCCUAAGCAUAAUCUCACUUCUGCCCAUGUUCCAUU
rnacentral:lncRNA from 12 species